rnacentral:rRNA from 1 species
UACGGAGGGUGCAAGCGUUAUCCGGAAUCACUGGGCGUAAAGCGUCUGUAGGUGGUCCAAUAAGUCAACUGUUAAAUCUUGAGGCUCAACCUCAAAACCGCAGUCGAAACUAUUAGACUAGAGUAUAGUAGGGGUAAAGGGAAUUUCCAGUGGAGCGGUGAAAUGCGUAGAGAUUGGAAAGAACACCGAUGGCGAAGGCACUUUACUGGGCUAUUACUGACACUCAGAGACGAAAGCUAGGGUAGCAAAUGGGAUUAGAUACCCGCGUAGUCC